rnacentral:miRNA from 1 species
CCAGGUUAGAUUCUCAGGUUUU